rnacentral:lncRNA from 1 species
GUGAGCUGGGCUUGCUUGCUUGGUCGCUUGCAUACUCUCUUGCGAGUCGGGAAAGUGGGCUCCCUCCCCCACCCCAGCACUGUUGUACUGAGCAACAUUUUAUACCAGCUGAAUUUUUGUACUAACUGGACAGGGAAAUCAUGAAAGAACACUUUUCACACGGCUGUCUUUUUAAAUUAUUCUAUGUGGCCUCUCUUUUCUUCCAGAAGAAUCUAGGGCACAUUUUAUCGCUUUUCCUGUCACCGUCGGGUGUUAACAAGCAGUUUGACUUGCCGUUAUUAUAAAGUCCAGUCCAAUCUAAAUCAAACUUUAAUCUCAUUUCAUUUAAGCCUUCCCUACUCCUCUCCCCUGGCUCACAAACUACCAGCCUGAUCUAAACGUAAACAGAACAGCCUCCUUCGCUCCCUUCACUUUCCAAUUAGGGUGUUCUGUGAAGCCUAGAGCCUCCGAGAUGGAAGGAAUGGGGUUCUGACUCGACAGCUCCCUCCUCAGGCCACCCCCCACUUCCUCCAGGGAAGCAUGUCCCCAAUAGGCCGACCCAGCUGUCUUCCACCAUGUCUCCUCAUGGUGUCCAUCACACUAAAGAAAUUCUGAUUAGCCUCUUCCUUGAGCCUUGUCAGGGGGCCAUUUCCAAGUUCAGGAAUAUCUCCACACUCCAGAUGAAAUGCAGCGGCUUCUCACCACAUUUCUCCUCAGGCUCGUCUUCCCAGGGCGAAGUGAGUGAGUCCUUCCCCUUUGCCUUGAUAGCACCCUGUCGAUCUCACAGCGAACUGCUGAACCAACAGAAUGCCCUCCUGGAAAGUCUCACACUCUAUCCCAGCAUGCACCUACCUGUCUCCAUGGCAGCACAAGGCAAGGCACUGAGCUCGUGGGAUCAUGAACAGCUAACAGCACAUAGCAGUGACUCCUUGGGAUCUGCCAGGAAACAGAGGGGAUGCCAACAUUUUGCUGACUUUCUCUUUGUUCCCCCUUUGAUUCUGGCAGGAUCCCUAGUAGAUUGGUGCUAAUCAUACACUUGAAUUACGUCCUCCCCCUCAAAGAAUCCUCCCUGGAGAUGUCCUCAUAGACACCUCCGGAAAUUCUCUCCCAUCUCCUAGCUGGUUUCAAAUUGUUGAGUUGACAAUGAAGAUUAAUGGUUACAAAUGGUAACUCGGAAAGGGCCAUACAUAGUCAAUCCAGACAGAACAAUCGUAGUCCUAUUGAGAUUUUCCAGUUUUGGAUGGACUAGCCGAAAUGGAAAGUCAAGUUGUUUUUGCUGUUUGUUUGGUUUUUUUUUUUUUUUGAUUGACUGACUGAGUGAGUGAUUGAUUGAUUGAUUGAUUGAUUGAUUUGCUCUAAGUCUGAUCCUGCCUGGGUAUCUUCUCAGAAUUCCCAAACUACAAGUCACCUACUGUGCCCAGUAGCUAUUCCAAAAUAAGCAGCAUUUUAAUACUCGUACAUUUUAAUUUAAUUGAUAUGUUCAUAUAUUUUAAUGCUGUAAUGGGGAACUGUAAACAGAAGCAAAUGUUCUUUUUUAAGGGAGGCAGGAAUGAAAUCAGCAGGUUUGGCAAUGGAGGUCACCCACAACUCCUGGAGCAGAGCUUCUCCGGACAUGAAUGCAGGUGGUUUGUUUUGGGAGAUCAGGAUGUAGAACUCUCAGCUACUUCCCCACACUAUGUCUGCCUGCCUGCUGCCAUAUAACCUACCAUGACUGAACCUCUGAACUGUAAGCCAGUCCCCAAU